rnacentral:rRNA from 1 species
AAUGAACGUUGGCGGCGUGGAUUAGGCAUGCAAGUCGAGCGAGAAUUUGCGAUUGGAAGCUUCGGCCGAAGGAAGUGAAGGAAAGCGGCAAACGGCGUAGUAAGGCGUAGGUACGUACCCUCGGGUCGGGAAUAGCCAUGGGAAACUGUGGGUAAUGCCCGAUAAUCUCUGCGGAGCAGAGGUGUGAUUCCGCCGGAGGAGCGGCUUACGUGAUAUUAGCUAGUUGGUGGGGUAAUGGCCUACCAAGGCAACGAUGUCUAGGGGGCGUGAGAGCAUGGCCCCCACGACCGGAACUGAGACACUGUCCGGACACCUACGGGUGGCUGCAGUCGAGAAUCUUCCGCAAUGGGCGAAAGCCUGACGGAGCGACGCCGCGUGGUGGAUGAAGGCCCUUGGGUUGUAAACACCUGUCAGAGGGGAUGAAAUCAUGGUUGGCAAUCCUUCCAUGUUGACAGAGCCUCAGAGGAAGCACGGGCUAAGUACGUGCCAGCAGCCG